GGGCUCGGGACUCGCCGAGCCCCGCCAGCCCCAGGACUACAGCGGCCAACAGGCACUCCAGGUCCGACCGGUGGGAGGCGCUGCGGGGCAGCUUCCUAGGAGGACGUGACUCAAGGGGCCGGUGGGUGGAGCUGGGAACCCAGGCUGGAGGAUAAGGGCUGAUGUCCGUCACUCACUCGGCCAAAGCCUCCGUCUCCGGCCAAGGCCCCCGGCUGGUCCCAGGCAGUUAGGCCCACAGACCCACUGCAUUCUUUGAGUCCGAGAGGCACUGACUGCGCUGGGGCUUUCACGGUCUGACCCGGCUCCUGCGGUCCCGUGGUCCCGCCGCUCCCCUCCGCUGCCGCCUGGGGCUUGGAGUACAGACACACCUGCAAACACCGCGGCUCAACUGGCACAGCGGCGCUGAGGGGCUUCCCUGGUGGUGCAGUGGUUAAGACCAAUGCAGGGGACAUGGGUUCGAGCCCUGGCCCGGGAAGAUCCCACAUGCAGCAGAGCAACUAAGCCCGUGAGCCACAACUACUGAGCCCGCACGCCUAGAGCCCGUGCUCCGCAACAAGAGAAGCCACCGCAAUGAGAAGCCCGCGCACCUGAAAGAAGAGUAGCCCCUGCUCGCCACAACUAGAGAAAAGCCCGCUCGCAGCAAC